UUCUGGUUUAUAGGCCUACUAUAUCGGUUGUUACUUGCAUUGCGUCCCUUUUGUAGUAAUAACAAACCAAAGAUGAAUACUACAAACCUAAAAGUAUGCGAACAUCAAUGCUUAGAAGAGUGUGAUCCGUACUAAUAAACUAUAUUUUCCUAAACGGGACAAGAAGUUUCCGAAAUUUUAUGCGAAUCACUAACAAAGUUGAAGGAAAAGUUGUUAUUAGACUAUAUUUGUCCAAGAGAAUUACUUAUUAAAAGAAAGAAAAUUUACUUUCCAGAUGUUUUUGUUCCCAACGCAUAAAAACAUCAGAGUGGAGACCGGAUGGUGAUGAAACAGAUAGGUCCAUAAUGACGAUUUCCAAGAUAACUUACGCAUUUCGAGAAUUCUUUCAUAAAAAUAAAACACGAAUUGUAAUUUCUAGUCUUUCAAAUGGUGAAAACUUUCCAAUUUCUUAAAAGCAUCAGGAAAAAUUACAUUAAC